UACGAAGGGGGCUAGCGUUGCUCGGAAUGACUGGGCGUAAAGGGCGCGUAGGCGGUGUACACAGUCAGGCGUGAAAUUCCCGGGCUCAACCUGGGGGCUGCGCUUGAUACAUGUACGCUUGAGUUCGGAAGAGGGUCGUGGAAUUCCCAGUGUAGAGGUGAAAUUCGUAGAUAUUGGGAAGAACACCGGUGGCGAAGGCGGCGACCUGGUCCGAUACUGACGC
rnacentral:rRNA from 1 species